rnacentral:lncRNA from 1 species
CUUAUCAAAUUAAAGUGAUUCAGUUUUGAUAAAAAAAUUCUUGAAGUACAAAAUCCAUUCAAAAUUAGCAGUAGUACUAAUCCAAUAUGAAAGUACACUUUUGAAAGAAAAAGAAGAAGCCACUACUUUUCACUAUCACUUUUGAAUGUCAUUGCAAAGGCAUCAUCACAAUCUUAACUAUGACUCUAUUUGUCCGCGUUUCAACAUAAUAUAACAACUCGUCGUGUAUCUCCAAUUGCAAUUUAAAACUAUAUCGACAACGAAACAGUAUGACCUCGAGAAGGCAUGAGGGAAGAAUCUAGGAAGAAUAUCAAUUUUUGCUUUCACUAUCAAUGAAUAAAUGC